GAUGAAGAACGCAGCGAAAUGCGAUAAGUAAUGUGAAUUGCAGAAUUCAGUGAAUCAUCGAAUCUUUGAACGCACAUUGCGCCCGCCAGUAUUCUGGCGGGCAUGCCUGUUCGAGCGUCAUUACAACCCUCAGGCCCCCGGGCCUGGCGUUGGGGAUCGGCGGAAGCCCACUGCGGGCACAACGCCGUCCCCCAAAUACAGUGGCGGUCCCGCCGCAGCUUCCAUUGCGUAGUAGCUAACACCUCGCAACUGGAGAGCGGCGCGGCCACGCCGUAAAACACCCAACUUCUGAAUGUUGACCUCGAAUCAGGUAGGAAUACCCGCUGAACUUAAGCAUAUCAAUAAGCGGAGGA
rnacentral:misc_RNA from 1 species